rnacentral:lncRNA from 1 species
AAUAUUCCACAACAAAAUAGUAUAGUUGAAAGGAAAUAUGGUCAUUUAUUAAAUGUAGCAAUAGCUCUCAUGAUACAAUCUCAUUUAUCCAAAAUAUUGGUCAUAUUCUGUGAUACAUGUUGCACAUAUUAUAAACAUGCUUCCCACACCUAUUUUAAACUAUUUUUCUCUUGUGCUUUGAUGACGUUCUCCAUUAGUCACCUUGAGGUCUCGACAUUGUCUCUCAGCCUUUGUUGCUCGGCUUAGGAUUCUUCAUAGAGGCGUUCCUGCUCCGCUCGUAAUUCCUGAGUUUGUCUCCUUGACUCCUCGCUUUCACGUUGUAAGGCCUGCAUCGUCUCUAUGACCUGCUGCAGAGUGAAUGUUUCUCCGUCGUCAGGCGUGGUUGUUUGUUUGGUAGGCCUCAUGAUUCUAACUUUUGUAUUUGUUUUCCAGUGAGAGUGGCAAUAGGAACAAUUUUACCUACCCCAUGGUGGGAAUGUUCUCGUCGAGAUGAGGUCGGUCGAAAUCUGGAAGAGUUCCAAGUGUUCUCCCUUCAAGCUCUUAGUGAUUCGGCUUCUAAGGUACGAGGGGGCUUUACCUGCAAAAAAUACUCUGACACUCAAAUCAUUAAGAGCAUAAAAUUUUGUGUAUGUAGUGAGUAUAACGCAAGAUAUGAGUUGAGAUUAUUCUCUGUGAGUGGUCAUCUACUUAUAAGCCUUCAUGAACUUGGAUCUUUGAUGUUGGUUUCUCCAAGUUUAAAUGUGACAUACUAUAAUAUCUUUUUAUAAAAUUUGAAUAUUAUGUAUAUAAAUCAAAGCAUUUAUGUAAUAUAACAAUGGGAUACUGUGUAAGUAAAUUAGAACAUUUAUGUAAUGUAAUCAGGGAUAUUGUGCAUAACAUUUAUAUAAUAUAAUCAGGGAUAUUGUGCAUUAAAAUCACGUUAAUAGAGUGUUAAUCGUGUUUUUACGGGAUUUUAUUCUCUAAAUGUCACACUUGGGUUUUAUCAGUAUUUUAUGAAUUCUCCUUUUUUCCUUAGGCCAACUGGCGAAUUGGGCUUGGCCCAUCUUGUUGAGUUUGGGCCCGUUCAGUUAUAUAUUGGUCGAGACAAGCCUUCGUGCUAGCCAUGAUACAAGUGUUGUUGGACUAUCUCUUUGGGUCGGUCAGCUCAACAAAAAUGGUCGAGCAAGUCCCAUACGGUACAAUAUUUGAGUCUUUUAAAGUUUAUCAUAAUGAGAGUUUGUUGAGCUUAUCAGGUCACUUACUAUCAGGCCGUCAUCGGAUCAUCCAUAAAUAUAUAGUCUCACGCACGAGUUGUCACUCUCGGCGUGAGGAGGUGUGUUAUAGAUCCCAAAUUGACUAGAAAUUAAGACAUAUUAUAGUAUAUAAGUGAAUGCAAAUUUCACCUUAUAAGUCGAUUUUAUGAGAUUGAGUUAAAUUUAAAAUUCAAUUUUCAAUAGUUUAUAAAAGAACCAAUAUAGAAAUAACUUGUGCAAAUCUAUCUUAUCCAUUAUCUCUUUAGAUUGCUUGUUAUCUUCAUCUAAUUUAAGAACUAAGAGCUUUGUGAAAAACAAGUUUUGAAUUUUUUUUAUAGUACGUCUAUCAAAUUUAAAGUUACAUCUGACGAUAAGUUUUGAAACACAAUUAAAUCCAUUUUUUUUAUAUGAUUUCUUCAAGUUUUCUCAAAAUGUUAAACAUAAAAAAAGACAAAAAUAUAAUUAAUUAUUAUUAAGAUUAAGUUUAUGAAAGAAGCACAAAAAUUUAAAGAGAAAAUAAAUUGUAUAAAUUUUAAUAUUUUCAGUCCCAAAAAAAUACCAAAAAUAAUAAUAUUUAAUAUAAAAUAACUCUAAAAGUUUAAACAUAUUAAUUUUAUUCACAUUGUAAAUAAAUAGAAAAAUAAUAAUUCGAAAUCAUCUAUACUAAACUCAUCAUCCAAUUUCUACAAUAAAAAAUUAAUUUGGGUUGAGUGAAAUUUAACCUAAUAUAAAUAGAACCUAAAUGAAUUUAUUUGAAAACUCUCAAGAGAAUAACCUUUCAUCCAUUAUCAUUCAUAAACUAAAAUGAUUUAAGGGAAUGGAUACCUUUAACAGUGGAUUAAAUAAAUUCAUUUUGAAGAAAGAUGGGUGAUUCAUUAAUAAUUUUAUAAUAAAUUAAAUAUAUAAAAAUUAAUAAUUAAUAUAUUUAAAAUUAAAAAAAAAUUAUGUAACAUUUUUUAUUACUGGUUGAUAAAUAACAGGUGGGAUGAAAUAGAGACGUUGGAGCGUGAGUGAGGAAGAAAAGAUGUUACAGUUUCCGGCAUAUAUGACGCAGUACCCACUCUCCACCAGAACUAUUCCGACGUCGUUUCUUCUACCCUCUCAGUGGCCCCACCCCCAAAACGAAGAACUCCUCCUCGCCUUGGAAGAGUCCGAUUUCGAAGAAAAGGUCCUUUCUUUUCGCUCUACCCUCCACCCUUUCUCUUCUGUUACCUCUCUUCAUUACAUUCUGUUUCUAACGCCAUAUAAAUUCCUUCAAAACGCUAUUUUUGGGGAUGUACUCUGUCACUUUUAUACGCAUCUUUGCACACAUUUUUUCUUCUAGGUUUCUUAUGUUUCUAAUCAAAUGAUUCAGAAUUUGGGAUUUCAGAGGCGUGUAGGGAUUUGAUCACAUGGUACAUAUGAAACAUUAGAGUGUGAAUGAAUGGUCAUAACUGGGAAUUCACAAAAUGAGAAAUAUUACACAUGAUUUUCUGCUGAUAUGUUAAUCUAAACACACAUGGUCGGAAAUUUAUGUCAAAAUUAUCCUCUCUCCUUCUAGAGAGGUAUAAUAGGUGGAACAUUUUGUUUCUUAGAUUUUGUUCACAUAUUUAGGUUGUUAGCAUCUUUCUCUUAAAAUUUCAUAUCUUAGGGAACAACAAAGUUUGGUCAUCCUAUAAGGAUAAAAUCUGCCAACUAAGUUUGGCACAAAAAGAUGGUUGGAUGCCUUCUCUUGUUGAUCUGACCACUGUUUGAUUCUUAGUUGUGUAUAUGAUAAAAGCUUUGUGGAGAGAAACAAAGUCUACUUUAAUGAUCACUAUCUUUUGUUUAAGGAAUAAUUCCCGGAUUUCAAGUUAGGAGAUAUCCUCGAACUAUACUAAGUGCAUGUUUGGUUUUUAGUAUCAUGGUCCAAAAGUAUGUUCACAAAGUAAAACAUGAAAAACAUGCUGUUUGGUUUUCAGUUGAGCCUGAUUUUAAAAUUUAAAGAACAUCUUGUUCUAUUACAAUUUUAUCUUGAAACUCGAUUUAAGAUAGAAGAGAAGGUAGAGUUGUUUUUAUAAACUCAGUUUGCGAAAUGAAUUUUGUCUAAACUUAAGUUUACAAACUUUAGACCAAACAUGCCCUAGGCUAUGUUAGGAAUAAAGUUUGCAACAUGGAUAGCUGUUUUCUCAUUACAUCUAUAUGAACCAAUAAAAGGUAGCUUCAGCAUCAUUCAGGCCUGUGGAUGUGAUUUUUGCCAAGGAUGUGGCGUGAAAAUGACAUACCAAACACACAAAACAAUAAAAUCUCCUCAAAGGGCAAGCUAUCAUUUUACCACAUCAGCAUCUAGCUGUUUGCUUGAACUUACCUGCAUGGCUGUCAUGAUAUUAACUAGUAGGCAUAUUUGUAAAGUAAUCGUCCGCAUAUACAUCUUGACAGUUAAGAAAGGCCUGGAUUAUCCAUGACAUAAGGUAGUUUUCACUUAACAAGAUAAUAAGUUACAAGGUGCAAUUCACUGUGCUCUUUGAAUUUCUCUUUCAUAUUGUCCAUUGCCGCAUACUCAUCAUACCUGUCAUUGUCGUCACGAAUCAUUGCAGUGCAAUGAGAUUAGGAAGAUGAAC